rnacentral:rRNA from 1 species
UGCCUUAUAGUGGGGGAUAGCCUUUCGAAAGGAAGAUUAAUACCGCAUAAGAUUGUAGUAUCGCAUGAUAUAGCAAUUAAAGGAGCAAUCCGCUAUAAGAUGGACCCGCGUCGCAUUAGCUAGUUGGUGAGGUGAUGGCUCACCAAGGCGACGAUGCGUAGCCGACCUGAGAGGGUGAUCGGCCACAUUGGGACUGAGACACGGCCCAGACUCCUACGGGAGGCAGCAUG